GAGGGGCAGCUUAACAUGCAAGUCGAACGCCCCGCAGGGGGAGUGGCAGACGGGUGAGUAACACGUGGGAACAUACCCUUUGGUUCGGAACAACGCCGGGAAACUGGCGCUAAUACCUGAUACACCCUUUUGGGGAAAGGCUUGCUGCCGAAGGAUUGUCCCGCGUUCUAUUAUUUUGUUGGUGAGGUAACGGCUCACCAAAGCGACGAUCAAUUGCUGGUCUGAGAGGAUGGCCAGCCACCUUGGUACUGAGACACGGCCCACACUCCUCCUGGAGGCAGCAGUGGGGAAUAUUGUACAAUGGGCGCAAGACUGAUCAUCCAUGCUGCGGGAGUGAUGACGGCCUCCUGGAUGUAAGAUCUUCGUUCGCGACGAUAAAGAUGGACUGCUGGAGAAUAAAUCCCGGCCAGCUUAUUGCCUUCUACCACGAUAAUACUAAGGGAGCUAGCUUUACUCCGAUUCACUGUGGUGUAAUGGGAGCGUACGCGGAUUCUUUUAUAAUGUGAGAAAUCACCUAGAUUUAUUUCGUUUCUGACUUGGAUAUUGGAGAUCAUUGAUUCCAGCCAGGAGAACGGGAACUGUAAUUGUAGGGGAUGACUUUAAAUAUAUUCGCCCUUAAAAACACUUGAAGUAGCAAUAAAUGUUGACUAGUAACCGUUUAUAAUGCAUUAAAAUAUCGUUGAGCAAAAAACCACGUAUCAGAUAUCCUAGUUCCUUGAAUGUUCCAUUUCCAAUCUAAAGAGCACUAGAAUCGUUGGAUAUAUUUCCUAGAUUUAC
rnacentral:rRNA from 1 species